ACGAACGCUGGCGGCGUGCUUAACACAUGCAAGUCGAACGGAAAGGCCUGCUUUCCCUUGUGGAUUGCGGGUACUCGAGUGGCGAACGGGUGAGUAACACGUGAGUGAUCUGCCCCCAACUUGGGUAUAAGCCUGGGAAACUGGGUCUAAUUCCCGAUAGGACUGCAGGGUGGUGCCUGUGGUGGAAAACGAUUUUCUAGUGGUUGGGGAUGAGCUCGCGGCCUAUCAGCUUGUUGGUGGGGUAAUGGCCUACCAAGGCGGCGACGGGUAGCCGGCCUGAGAGGGUGGACGGCCACAUUGAGACUGAGAUACGGCCCAGACUCCUACGGGAGGCAGCAGUGGGGAAUAUUGCACAAUGGGCGGAAGCCUGAUGCAGCGACGCCGCGUGGGGGAUGACGGCCUUCGGGUUGUAAACUCCUUUCGACCGCGAGGAAGCCACCUGGUUGGAAGGGUGGUGACGGUAGUGGUAGAAGAAGCACCGGCUAACUACGUG
rnacentral:rRNA from 1 species